UUCCUGAGAAAGAAGUAUUGGGUCAUUGCUGGCUCCUGACAACUACACACAGAUGGCCAAGGAGACCAGAGCUGAGACAGGACAGGCCACUGCUAAGGAAAAUAUUUUCACCCACCAGUCAGAGGACAGAGUGGAUAGAUGCAGACCAAAUACAGGGGUGGUUUGUGUGUCUUAGUGGAUGGGCAACACCUACCAAGAUCCUAAGUUCCUGUAUUCUUCCUGAAUUUUGGCCGCUCUCUGAAGUGGUUUGUGGUUUUGUGUCCAAGAUGUGUACCACCAUCAAGCUUUGUGAAAUGGCCAUGGACUGGAUUGCUGAAGGGAAUGCCAAGCAUCUCAGAAAAGUCAAAAAUUUGCAUGACUGAUGGGCAACACCUACCAAGAUCCUAAGUUCCUGUAUUCUUCUUUAAUUUUGGCUGCUCUCUGAAGGGUUUCCUGGUUUUGUGUCCAAGAUGUGUACCACCAUCAAGCUUUGUGACAUGGCCAUGGACUGGAUUGCUGAAGGGAAUGCCAAGCAUCUCAGAAAAGUCAAAAAUUAGCAUGACUGGUAAGGAUCUCUCUGGAGAAUCCCUGCUUGGAUAGAUAGUACCCAAGUUGCAUGAUUAGGAACUGUCAGUGCCACAGUGUUCAAUUAAAGAAAAGUAUUUCUCCAGGCUUCUUUCCUCCCCAUUGUUCUGUUCCCCUGAAUGUCAGGGAGGUGUUUGCCUUCAGGCCCUUUUUUGGGAAUCCUCCAGAAAACAGUUUCAAAUGGAAAUGAAGAGGCCUUAUCUGUGCCUUUUAGGUAAAGUGCUUUGUAAAAGCUGUGUCUGAAUCAGACUCUUGGCCCUGUGUGUGGCUGUGAAGUAUAUUCUAAGCACCCAAGGAAAGUUAAGAAAAAUCCCAUGUGUCCAUCCAAAUCUAAAAG